rnacentral:tRNA from 1 species
UCUAAUAUGGCAGAUAAAGUGCAAUGAAUUUAAGCUUCAUAAAUAAAAAUAAUUUUUAUUAGAU